rnacentral:rRNA from 1 species
GACGAACGCUGGCGGCGUGCUCACACAUGCAAGUCGCACGGAAAGGCCCUGCUUUUGUGGGGUGCUCGAGUGGCGAACGGGUGAGUAACACGUGAGUAACCUGCCCUUGACUUUGGGAUAACUUCAGGAAACUGGGGCUAAUACCGGAUAGGAGCUCCUGCUGCUUGGUGGGGGUUGGAAAGUUUCGGCGGUUGGGGAUGGACUCGCGGCUUAUCAGCUUGUUGGUGGGGUAGUGGCUUACCAAGGCUUUGACGGGUAGCCGGCCUGAGAGGGUGACCGGCCACAUUGGGACUGAGAUACGGCCCAGACUCCUACGGGAGGCAGCAGUGGGGAAUAUUGCACAAUGGGCGGAAGCCUGAUGCAGCAACGCCGCGUGCGGGAUGACGGCCUUCGGGUUGUAAACCGCUUUCGCCUGUGACGAAGCGUGAGUGACGGUAAUGGGUAAAGAAGCACCGGCUAACUACGUG